GUGGGGAAUCUUAGACAAUGGGGGAAACCCUGAUCUAGCCAUGCCGCGUGAGUGAUGAAGGCCUUAGGGUUGUAAAGCUCUUUCAGAGGGGAAGAUAAUGACGGUACCCUCAGAAGAAGCCCCGGCUAACUCCGUGCCAGCAGCCGCGGUAAUACGGAGGGGGCUAGCGUUGUUCGGAAUUACUGGGCGUAAAGCGCACGUAGGCGGACCAGAAAGUCAGGGGUGAAAUCCCGGGGCUCAACCCCGGAACUGCCUUUGAAACUCCUGGUCUUGAGGUCGAGAGAGGUGAGUGGAAUUCCGAGUGUAGAGGUGAAAUUCGUAGAUAUUCGGAGGAACACCAGUGGCGAAGGCGGCUCACUGGCUCGAUACUGACGCUGAGGUGCGAAAGCGUGGGGAGCAAACAGGAUUAGAUACCCGUGUAGUCC
rnacentral:rRNA from 1 species